AGCUCGAACAAGGCUGAUGUGUCUUUGAACUUGGGGAUUGCAGUAAUUUCCCCUGGCCACUUAUCCCACAUCCAUUCAUUGCCACAAAUAGCUGCGAAACCUGACGUGGCAGCGGCAUCCGUCCAUAAUGACACUGACUUAUCUGACCAUACCGGGAUAAAAAUGCUUUUCCCAUUCCAAUUUAGCAAAAAUUCUCUCCACAUAUGUAGGUCAGCGGUGGCAUGUAUGUCUAACGUAAUGCGGGUGGUAUCAGAGUGAAACAGGGGAAAUAGCCUAAGCAAACGGGAUAUGAACGCUCUCCC